rnacentral:rRNA from 1 species
UCGAACGGCAGCACGGGAGCAAUCCUGGUGGCGAGUGGCGAACGGGUGAGUAAUAUAUCGGAACGUGCCCAAUCGUGGGGGAUAACGCAGCGAAAGCUGUGCUAAUACCGCAUACGAUCUACGGAUGAAAGCGGGGGAUUCGCAAGAACCUCGCGCGAAUGGAGCGGCCGAUAUCAGAUUAGCUAGUUGGUGGGGUAAAAGCUCACCAAGGCGACGAUCUGUAGCUGGUCUGAGAGGACGACCAGCCACACUGGAACUGAGACACGGUCCAGACUCCUACGGGAGGCAGCAGUGGGGAAUUUUGGACAAUGGGCGCAAGCCUGAUCCAGCAAUGCCGCGUGCAGGAUGAAGGCCUUCGGGUUGUAAACUGCUUUUGUACGGAACGAAACGGCUCUUUCUAAUAAAGAGGGCUAAUGACGGUACCGUAAGAAUAAGCACCGGCUAACUACGUGCCAGCAGCCGCGGUAAUACGUAGGGUGCGAGCGUUAAUCGGAAUUACUGGGCGUAAAGCGUGCGCAGGCGGUGAUGUAAGACAGAUGUGAAAUCCCCGGGCUCAACCUGGGACCUGCAUUUGUGACUGCAUCGCUAGAGUACGGUAGAGGGGGAUGGAAUUCCGCGUGUAGCAGUGAAAUGCGUAGAUAUGCGGAGGAACACCGAUGGCGAAGGCAAUCCCCUGGACCU